rnacentral:miRNA from 1 species
CCGACCGUUUAUUAGCCCUGAUAC